rnacentral:miRNA from 1 species
CCAGAUAAAUUUGAAUGUCAGAUAAGUGAAUAAUUUUUUCAUAUAAAUAUAUCCCAUGCAAUAUUUGGGACAUACUUAUGCUAAAAAUGCAUCAAUGUUGAUUUGAAACUCAAAUUUAACUGGGCAUCCAGU